rnacentral:tRNA from 1 species
GCCUGGCUGGCUCAGUCGGUGGAGCGUGCAACUCUUGAUUUCAGGGUUGUGAGUUCAAGCCCCAUGUUGGGUG